UCCUGUCCUGUAAAUUCACAACGAUAUCCGUG
rnacentral:piRNA from 1 species